AUUGAACGCUGGCGGCAUGCCUUACACAUGCAAGUCGAACGGUAACGGGCCUUCGGGUGCCGACGCGUGGCGAACGGGUGAGUAAUACAUCGGAACGUGCCCGAUCGUGGGGGAUAACGAGGCGAAAGCUUUGCUAAUACCGCAUACGAUCUACGGAUGAAAGCCGGGGACCGCAAGGCCUUGCGCGGACGGAGCGGCCGAUGGCAGAGUCGGUAGUUGGUGGGAUAAAAGCUUACCAAGCCGACGAUCUGUAGCUGGUCUGAGAGGAUGAUCAGCCACACUGGGACUGAGACACGGCCCAGACUCCUACGGGAGGCAGCAGUGGGGAAUUUUGGACAAUGGGCGCAAGCCUGAUCCAGCCAUGCCGCGUGCAGGAUGAAGGCCUUCGGGUUGUAAACUGCUUUUGUACGGAACGAAAAGCCUUCUUUUAAUACAGGAGGGUCAUGACGGUACCGUAAGAAUAAGCACCGGCUAACUACGUG
rnacentral:rRNA from 1 species